CAACUACCGAGUCAAGGUUUGAAUUACAGCCGCCCAAUCAGGAGAUCAAGACCAGGCUCCGGUUGCGCACAAAAUAUGUGGAACCAAAUGAACAAGAGAGGGGGGGGGGGGUCAUAAAGAAAAGGACAAUACAGCACACUCCUCUCUUUGUGUCCUGGAUUUCGGAGGCAAACACUGCGGGGGGAAUUAAACAGGCACAUCGUUAUCAGAUGCUCCGUCACCACGGGGCGUGUUAAGACGCUGUCCGACUCCCCUUUUAGACAGGCAACGCUCUCUCGGGUGCGUGUUUCGUGGAGAUUCCUAAUUAGACACUACAAAGACGAAGGAAGCGAGCUCUUCUAAGAAAGUAAAACCCGUCUAUGCACAAACAGAUGAACUAGAAAACAUCCACGCGAGAGCUUAUAAUCAAUCAGUGACGCACAGUAAACGCUGUACGUUUCGUAAACGGUGAUACGAAAAGGACGCGUAAACAGGGAGCGAGAUAAAAGUUUGUCACGAUAACAGUAGGCAGGUUAAGGACGGUCAUUUUCGACGGUCCCUUGUUUUGGAUAAAUAUAACGCAACUCUACUUCCAGUUGAGGAAGUAGGCUCCGGGAUAUCCCUGGGAUAGGCUCCGGGCUCCCUGCGACCCUGUGUAGGAUAAGCAGUACGGAAAAUGGAUGGAGAAAUAAACAGGUAAACAACUACCUAGUUUAAAAAGAAAAUCACAGACCCCUGGGUGUCCAAAGAACAGUCAAAUAUAUGUGUUGUGAAUAUUAUACACACACACACAUUUUUUAUGGAUUUUGGACGUAUUAAUUAAAUUGAUGAUUUGCCCUUCGUUCAGAGUUGCAAGCAUAGACUCGUGCUCAUAUCUCAUGGGCGUGCACUGUGCAGCGACCGCUACGCUGUCACUUAUGCGCGUGGCCUGUCUGGGUUGUCUAAGGUUAGCGACGUAAUACGUAGACACUACUGUAAUAUCUAUCUACAGUGGAUAUAAAAAGUCUACACACCCCUGUCAAAAUGGCAGGUUUUGGUGAUUAAAAGAAGAUCAAACCGAUUUUUAAAGUUACAAUAACCUAGGUUGCACAAGUAUGCACACCCCUUGUGUAAGUGGAGACGUGACCGUGUUCAGAAUGAACCGAUCACGUUCGAUCUCACGUUCGAGAGUAACUAUCACGCGGCCGUCAUCGAUGAAACGAUUCCGAUUAACCCCCCCAAAUAAACACCGGCUGUUUCUGUAGGAGCUUCUUCGGACGUCUUUGUUUCUUCUGAAGCCGUGGUCCACGAACAGCUGACAAACACGCACACAUACAUAUAGCUAUUCGCAUAAAUAUAAAGCGAACAGGGUUCAUUAGUCUCAUCGAUAUAUACAUGGAAUGUGUACAAAAUGUGUACAGUAUCAGAGGGACCCUGUGUGUGCGUGUGCGUGUGUGAGAGCGUAUCUUCGCUCCUAGGCGCCCGUCUCUGUCUAUACCUCCUAAAAUAAACCAGCGAUACUCGAAGUUCACACACACUUCCCUCUCUUUCUCUGUCAGGAGAACAGGAGCCUCUUUGAGCGCGACGGGAAAAGGUAAGACGGGCUUUUUCUAAAACGUCUGAAGGACACACACUGGCCCUCAUUGUCAGGAUUGAUCCAGAACGGGAAGAGAGAAGUGUGGGAACGCUCGAGUGUCUCUGCUCAGGACCACAGCAGACGCCGCGUCGGCGGACGCUCCGAAAGCUCGCGCAGUCGAUUUUAUACACCUAACGUAUGUGGGUGUGCGUGGAGUUAGGAAAUCCAAACGUUUCCAGACGCCUCGUGGGAAUGAAAGCGAACGGGCGUCAACACGCUCUCUUCACAUCCUCCUCACUGAGCUGACCUAAUACCCACAAUGUUUCUGAUCAAUACCAUAAAGUCGAGGAGUCACUUCCUGACGGAGUGUUCGCAGCGUAGUGUGAACACACUCGACACGUGUCUAAUCUGAAAGGAGCUCUAGCGUUGUGGUUAUGCCUAGUGAAUAUACAUAUACAUAUAUACACACACACAUAUAGACCAGCCGGAACAUUAAGACCACCUGCCUAAUGUCGUGUAGGUCCGCCUUGUGCAACCAGAACAGCUCUGACCCAUCGAGGCAUGGACUCCACAAGACCUCUCAAGGUGUGCUGUGGUAUCUAACACCAAGACAUCAGCAUCAGAUCGUUUACAUCCUGUAAGUUGUGAGGUGAGGCCUCCGUGGAUCAGACUUGUUCGUCCAGAACGUCCCACAGACGUUGAGAUCUGGGGAAUUUGGAGGCCGGGUCAACGCCUCGAACUCUCGCUCACGUUCCUCAAACCGUUCCUGAAAUUUUUUCGCAGUGUGUCAGGGUGCAUCAUCCUGCUGAAAGAGCGUCAGUGUCGUAAGGGAACACCGCCACCAUGAAGGCGUGUACUCGGUCUACGACAACGUUUAGGUAGGUGGAACGUGUCAAAGUAAGAUCCACGCAGAAACGCGUGAAGGUCGGCAGGUGCCGAUCGGUCGCGCAGAUCGGAUCGCACAAAACGUGCGUUACCCGGCCUUUGUGAAAUUCGCAACAGGAACGAGCGUGAAACCGAUCACGUGAUCCGAUGCCAAACUCUUCUGUGCAGGAAGCAUCGGGUCCAGAAAGAAAAAAAAAACACGCAGAUGCCGUUAAAAUAUCACGACUUCUCAAAAUGGUGGAAAAUUUAACCAGAACUAGAGCCUUAAGCUGUGUGAAGUUCUCGCCCCGUCAGUAACGCACUCACCCUCUCAUGACUGAGGGUCAAACUAAAUACAAUUCAAGUUUGUGUAAUGAAUAGGAAUAGACACAAGGGCAUAGAAGAGCAUUUAACUAUCACACACACACACACACACACACAAUACCCUUAGCUACCUGGACUAAAAAGACAAAGACAAUAGUUCACUGGCAGGCAAACAACAUUGCCAUGUGCACACACACACACACACACACACACACACACACACACACUCUCUGGAAACACUCAGGAGAGCAGCAGUGUUUAUCUCCCACUCUGCAGAUAGACUUUGAUGUGCUGCAGGCAAGCGGAAACACACAGCCGUGUGGAGACACACACACACACACACACACACACACACACACGCCUGCUUGUCAGUAGAUAUGUCCCAAGACUCAUCGCUCCCUGUUUGGAUGAGCAUUACGCUCAACGUUACAGUUAACACACCUGUGUGCACCAGGUCUUUCCAUUGGCCCAGCACACAUGACCUACAAUUUUCACACAACACACAUUCUGAUAUCAUUUUUUUAAAAAUCUUUUUUUAAUUGUUCGAUCCGUCUCACGGUUCACGAGGAUUCGCCACGUUGCUAUUUAGUGCAGAUGUAGAACACGAGACUUUGACUGAAUCGGAAGAUUGAAUCGAUUCGACUCGGAAGCGUACGUAGGUUCCACGUGAACGAACCACAUUCGUGCGUUUUUGUAAAAAUCCGACAGCGGUUGAGCACGUGUUUUUAAAACGGAACCCCGCGCUCAAACUGAGCUCAGGAUCGAACCCAGGUAUACACACACACACAGAGAUCUACACAUGUCUAUUAAAGAGAACCUUCCUGUAGUGGAAGACGCUGAAAGGUCACAGAGAGAAAGGCGUUACCCUGGAAACGACCCUCUGCUGGGGGCCCCUUCAUGGUAGAGAAAGGCAACACAGCAUCCUGUGUGUGUGUGUGUGUGUGUGUGUGUGAGAGAAAGUGAGAGAGAGAGUACCCCUACAAUCGCAUAGACAACUACAGCAAGAUAAACACAGUGAAGGGGAUUUAUAACACAAUCAACAAGCUGUAAUCAAAAGAUAAGGACACACUGGCCCGGUUUUAUUUAAAGAACGGGGAUCUAUCAAGGUCUGAUCUUCACAAUACGUUUGUGCAAGUGUAUCAUGCCACGAACAAAGGAGAUUUCUAAGGACCUCGGAAAAAGAGUUGUUGAAGCUGGAAAAGGUCACAAAACCAUCCCUGAAGAUGUUGUGUAGAAAUGGAGGAUCUUCAAGACCGUUGUUCCCCUCCCCAGGAGUGGAGACCAACAAAGAUCACUCCGAGAGCAAGACGUGUAAUAGCCCAGGAGGUCACAAAGGAACCCAGGGUAACUUCUAAGCAGCUAAAAGCUUCUCUCACAUUGGCUAAUGUUAAUGUUAGGUUUAAAUGAGAAGCGUUAUGUUUGUAGAAAGGAAAACACUACUUAUCCCAUAUGUGAAACACGGUGGGGGUGGGAUCAUGAUCUGGGCCUGUUUUGCUGCAUCUGGUCCAGGACGACUUGCCAGUUGAUAGAAGAAUGAAUUCAAGGAAAAUAUCAGGACAUCUGUCCGUGAACUGAAUCUCAAGAGAAAGCGGGUCAUGCAGCAGGACAACGACCCUAAACACACGAGGCGUUCUACUAAAGAACGGUUCAAGAAGAAUAAAGUGAAUGUUUUGGAACGGCCAAGUCAAAGUCCUGACCUUAAUCCAAUAGAAAUGUUGUGGAAGAACCUGAAGCGAGCAGUUCAUGUGAGGAAACCCACCAAACAUCCCAGAGCUGAAGCUGUUCUGCACUGAGGAACGGGAUGAAACUCCUCAGGACUGAUCAACACUUACCCCAAACGUUUAGUUGCUGCACAAGGGGGUCACACUAGACACCAAGAGCAAAGGUUCACAUACUUCUGCCACUCACGGAUAUGUAAUAUUGGACCAUUUUCCUCAAUAAAUACAUUUCCAAGUAUAAUAUUCUUGUCUCAUUUGUUUAACUGGGUUCUCUUGAUCUACCUUUAGGACUCGUCUGGAAAUGUGACCAUGUUUUAGGUCAUAUUUAAGCAGAAAUUUAUAAAGGGUUCACAAACUUUCAAGCACCACUGUGGAUGUUCUCACGGUCUUUCCCUCUCACUCUGAGGAAGCAGGCUGUGCCUCUUUCCUGUUCCUGAUGUCUGCAUCAUGUGUUUAAAAGGGGUUCGAGUCUCAGGAUGAUGUUUUAGGUUUUAUUUAGAACAUGAAGAAAGUUUUUACUGAGAAUAAGAAUAAUAUGUUUAUCCGUUCAUCCACUUCAGGCAACAGAAGUCUGCGCUUGAGAGAGGAAGGUUACUUUAGGUCAGAUGGGGGGUGCGUGUGUGUGUCUGUGUGGGGAGAAGUGGGGCAGCAAGUCCUCAAUGAAGAACAACAAAAAAAAAAGAAGCACAGGACAAGGCGGUUUCCCUUUCACACCCUCUCGCUCUCUCCAUUCAAAACCAAACACUACACACACGCAAACAGGCAGAGGAAACACUGUGUGUGUGUCUGUCCUGGUGAAUGUAACACUGUUCCAAUAUUUCGUAUGCUCGACAUGACGACGGCUUAUAAAGGUCACCAUGAACGUGUGCGAUCCUGAUCCGAGGUCAUGUUAGUAAACAGUAACCCUUUCUUUAUCUUUAUAAAAAAAGCGCAGGUUUGGGUUUUUCAGUUCAGCUCUGAAUUCAAGAUUCGUUUAUUCUUUAAACAACAACAAUAAUAACACUCUUUCUGGAACUGAAUCCUUUUCUGAACGCUGAAGCCUCUCGCUCUCUCUCACACACACACACACCUGCAGAUGAAGAGGGCCCAGGUGAAAGCACACAGCAACUACACGCGCUUUUCUUUCAUCUCAGCAGAAUAAACGCUUCUGGAAACAGCUGCUUCAAAAGGCAGCAGGGAAAAAAAAAAAAAGUGUUGUGCUGCGAUCCUCAGGUGUACUUCUAGACAGCAAAAACACACACACAACUCAAUGCUGUUUAACACUAACAGAGUAAAGACACCAUUUAAGGUGACAAACAGUGACGCUUCACGCUGUAAACUAACCAUCUUAACAUUACGCCUGAUUCAUAAUUCAUGUAACGGCACACGUUCUGUCGUGUGUGUGUGUGAGACUGAGAGAGCAUGUGUGGGUGAGAGAGAGUGUGUGAGUGAGCAUGUGAGAGAGAGAGAGAGAGAGAGAGAGAGAGUGUGAGAGGGAGUGUGUGUGAGAGAAAUCAUGUAAGAGAGAGUGUGAGAGAGAGAGAGCAAGAGUGUGUGAGAGAGCGAGUGAAAGAGAAAGUGUGUGUGUGUGUGAGAGAGAGGGAGAGAGAACAAGAGUGUGUGCGAGAGAGAGCGUGUGAGAGAGAGCAAGAGUGUGUGCGAGAGAGAGCAAGAGUGUGAGUGUGCGUGAGAGCAUGAGUGUGUGUGAGAGCAUGAGUGUGUGUGAGAGAAUGAGUGUGUGUGAGAGAAUGAGUGUGUGUGAGAGAACGAGUGUGUGUGAGAGAACGAGUGUGUGUGAGAGAACGAGUGUGUGUGUGAGAGAACGAGUGUGUGUGUGUGUGAGAGUGUGAAUGUGUAAUCAUGCAUGGCUUAGUACCCUGUGCCAUCUUUCAACCUUUGAUGAAUCACAUGACUUAGAAGCCAGUCAUCCUCACGCAUCUUUAUCUCCUAAACUGGGACAGGAACAUGGUGAGAGAUCGGACGUCAUCUGGUGAGGACAAGUGACGGUACUGUACUAUACUAUACACUACCAUACUAUACUAUACUAUACUGUACUAUACUAUACAAUACAGCACUAUACUAUACACUACUGUACUAUACUAUACACUACAGUACUAUACUAUACACUACUGUACUGUACUAUACUAUAUACAAUACAGCACUAUACUAUACACUACUGUACUGUACUAUACUAUACAAUACAG
ensembl:lncRNA